UAAUCAGAAGGUUGCUGGUUUGAUCCCCACAGUCACCACCAUUGUGUCCUUGAGUAAGACACUUAACUCCAGGUUGCUCUGGGGGGAUUGUCCCUGUAAUAAGUGCUCUGUAUAAUACAUUGGUAAUCAGAAGGUUGCUGGUUUGAUCCCCACAGUCACCACCAUUGUGUCCUUGAGUAAGACACUUAACUCCAGGUUGCUCCGGGGGGAUUGUCCCUGUAAUAAGUGCUCUGUAUAAUACAUUGGUAAUCAGAAGGUUGCUGGUUUGAUCCCCACAGUCACCACCAUUGUGUCCUUGAGUAAGACACUUAACUCCAGGUUGCUCCGGGGGGAUUGUCCCUGUAAUAAGUGCUCUGUAUAAUACAUUGGUACUCAGAAGGUUGCUGGUUCUAACCCCACAGUCACCACCAUUGUGUCCUUGAGUAAGACACUUAACUCCAGGUUGCUCCGGGGGGGAUUGUCCCUGUAAUAAGUGCUCUGUAUAAUACAUUGGUAAUCAGAAGGUUGCUGGUUUGAUCCCCACAGUCACCACCAUUGUGUCCUUGAGUAAGACACUUAACUCCAGGUUGCUCUGGGGGGAUUGUCCCUGUAAUAAGUGCUCUGUAUAAUACAUUGGUAAUCAGAAGGUUGCUGGUUUGAUCCCCACAGUCACCACCAUUGUGUCCUUGAGUAAGACACUUAACUCCAGGUUGCUCCGGGGGGAUUGUCCCUGUAAUAAGUGCUCUGUAUAAUACAUUGGUAAUCAGAAGGUUGCUGGUUUGAUCCCCACAGUCACCACCAUUGUGUCCUUGAGUAAGACACUUAACUCCAGGUUGCUCCGGGGGGAUUGUCCCUGUAAUAAGUGCUCUGUAUAAUACAUUGGUACUCAGAAGGUUGCUGGUUCUAACCCCACAGUCACCACCAUUGUGUCCUUGAGUAAGACACUUAACUCCAGGUUGCUCCGGGGGGAUUGUCCCUGUAAUAAGUGCUCUGUAUAAUACAUUGGUAAUCAGAAGGUUGCUGGUUUGAUCCCCACAGUCACCACCAUUGUGUCCUUGAGUAAGACACUUAACUCCAGGUUGCUCCGGGGGGAUUGUCCGUGUAAUAAGUGCUCUGUAAGUCACUUUGGAUAAAAGCAUCUGCCAAAUAUAGAAAUGUAAAUGUCCAAGUUUUCCAUGACUGUGGGACACGUCAAAGAGCAUCUUGUAUGCAAGAUCUGACUGUCUGUACAACGAGUUCACAUGAUCAAUGUCAUGGAUUUACUUACAUAUUAAAUAGUGCACUCUAAUCGUGUCUCUAUUGUAGUGUUAGCUGUA